UUUGAAUACAGGUGUGAGGUUGCAGUAACCUAAUAAGACCAAAAUCAUUUGAUUUUUGUUUCUUUUUUUUCCAUGUCUGUCCUGUCUGAACUUCGGUGACUCUUCACAAAAUAGUACGCACUUCUGGGGCCCAGUAGCCAACUGGGGUCUUCCCAUUGCUGCCAUCAAUGAUAUGAAAAAGUCUCCAGAGAUUAUCAGUGGGCGGAUGACAUUUGGAUGACUAAAACGGCAUCUGCAUAACAAUGGAAAAGGAAGAACAAGGUCUUGAAGGGACAGCAUUGCCAGCUGCUGCUGAGUCACAGAUUUCAUUAUAAAUAGCCUCCCUAAGGAAAAUACACUGAAUGCUAUUUUUACUAACCAUUCUAUUUUUAUAGAAAUAGCUGAGAGUUUCUAAACCAACUCUCUGCUGCCUUACAAGUAUUAAAUAUUUUACUUCUUUCCAUAAAGAGUAGCUCAAAAUAUGCAAUUAAUUUAAUAAUUUCUGAUGAUGGUUUUAUCUGCAGUAAUAUGUAUAUCAUCUAUUAGAAUUUACUUAAUGAAAAACUGAAGAGAACAAAAUUUGUAACCACUAGCACUUAAGUACUCCUGAUUCUUAACAUUGUCUUUAAUGACCACAAGACAACCAACAGCUGGCCACGUACUUAAAAUUUUGUCCCCACUGUUUAAAAAUGUUACCUGUGUAUUUCCAUGCAGUGUAUAUAUUGAGAUGCUGUAACUUAAUGGCAAUAAAUGAUUUAAAUAUUUGUUAAA
rnacentral:lncRNA from 1 species